rnacentral:rRNA from 1 species
AGCUAACGCUGGCGGCAUGCCUAACACAUGCAAGUCGAACGGAAAUUUAGCUUCGGUUAAAUUUUAGUGGCAAACGGGUGAGUAACGCGUGGGAAUCUACCCUCUGGUGGGGGAUAACUAAAGGAAACUUUAGCUAAUACCGCAUAUUCUUGGUAACAAGGAAAGAUUUAUCGCCAGAGGAGGAGCCUGUGUCAGAUUAGGUAGUUGGUAGGGUAAUGGCCUACCAAGCCUGUGAUCUGUAGCUGGUCUGAGAGGAUGAUCAGCCACACUGGGACUGAGACACGGCCCAGACUCCUACGGGAGGCAGCAGUGGGGGAUAUUGGACAAUGGGGGAAACCCUGAUCCAGCAAUGCCGCGUGAAUGAAGAAGGCCUUCGGGUUGUAAAGUUCUUUCGCCUGUGACGAUAAUGACGGUAGCAGGAAAAGAAGUCCCGGCUAACUCCGUGCCAGCCGCCGCUGUAA